rnacentral:rRNA from 1 species
UGGGGAAUAUUGCACAAUGGGCGAAAGCCUGAUGCAGCAACGCCGCGUGAGUGAUGAAGGCCUUCGGGUUGUAAAGCUCUGUCUUUUGGGACGAUAAUGACGGUACCAAAGGAGGAAGCCACGGCUAACUACGUGCCAGCAGCCGCGGUAAUACGUAGGUGGCAAGCGUUGUCCGGAUUUACUGGGCGUAAAGGAUGCGUAGGCGGAUUUUUAAGUGAGAUGUGAAAUACCCGGGCUUAACUUGGGUGCUGCAUUUCAAACUGGGAAUCUAGAGUGCGGGAGAGGAGAAUGGAAUUCCUAGUGUAGCGGUGAAAUGCGUAGAGAUUAGGAAGAACACCAGUGGCGAAGGCGAUUCUCUGGACCGUAACUGACGCUGAGGCAUGAAAGCGUGGGUAGCAAACAGGAUUAGAUACCCUGGUAGUCCACGCCGUAAACGAUGGUACUAGCUGUGAGGAGGUAGUCGACCCCUUCUGUGCCGCAGUUAACACAAUAAGUACUCCGCCUGGGAAGUACGAUCGCAAGAUUAAAACUCAAAGGAAUUGACGGGGUCAUAGCUGUUUUCCU